UACGUAGGGGGCGAGCGUUGUCCGGAUUUAUUGGGCGUAAAGAGCUCGUAGGCGGUUUGUCGCGUCGGCCGUGAAAACUUGGGGCUUAACCCCGAGCCUGCGGUCGAUACGGGCAGACUUGAGUUCGGCAGGGGAGACUGGAAUUCCUGGUGUAGCGGUGAAAUGCGCAGAUAUCAGGAGGAACACCGGUGGCGAAGGCGGGUCUCUGGGCCGAUACUGACGCUGAGGAGCGAAAGCGUGGGGAGCGAACAGG
rnacentral:rRNA from 1 species